UACGGAGGGUGCAAGCGGUAAUCGGAAUUACUGGGCGUAAAGCGCGCGUAGGCGGUUUGAUAAGCAGGAUGUGAAAGCCCGGGGCUUAACCUAGGAAUGGCAUUCUGAACUGUCUGACUGGAGGAGGGUAGAGGGUAGUGGAAUUUCCUGUGUAGCGGUGAAAUGCGUAGAUAUAGGAAGGAACACCAGUGGCGAAGGCGGCUAGCUGGACCAACACUGACACUGAGGUGCGAAAGCGUGGGGAGCAAACAGG
rnacentral:misc_RNA from 1 species